rnacentral:tRNA from 1 species
GCCGUCGUAACUCAGUUGGUAGAGUGUCCGGCUGUUAACCGGGUUGUCACAGGUUCGAGCCCUGUCGACGGCG